rnacentral:rRNA from 7 species
ACAUUGCGGCCCUGGGAUUCUAUCCAAGGGCCACGCCUGUCUGAGGGUCG